CCUUUAAUGUUUGAUGUUCUAACGUGGACCCGUAAUCCGGGUUGCGGACAGUGUCUGGUGGGUAGUUUGACUGGGGCGGUCUCCUCCUAAAGAGUAACGGAGGAGCACGAAGGUUGGCUAAUCCUGGUCGGACAUCAGGAGGUUAGUGCAAUGGCAUAAGCCAGCUUGACUGCGAGCGUGACGGCGCGAGCAGGUGCGAAAGCAGGUCAUAGUGAUCCGGUGGUUCUGAAUGGAAGGGCCAUCGCUCAACGGAUAAAAGGUACUCCGGGGAUAACAGGCUGAUACCGCCCAAGAGUUCAUAUCGACGGCGGUGUUUGGCACCUCGAUGUCGGCUCAUCACAUCCUGGGGCUGAAGUAGGUCCCAAGGGUAUGGCUGUUCGCCAUUUAAAGUGGUACGCGAGCUGGGUUUAGAACGUCGUGAGACAGUUCGGUCCCUAUCUGCCGUGGGCGCUGGAGAACUGAGGGGGGCUGCUCCUAGUACGAGAGGACCGGAGUGGACGCAUCACUGGUGUUCGGGUUGUCAUGCCAAUGGCACUGCCCGGUAGCUAAAUGCGGAAGAGAUAAGUGCUGAAAGCAUCUAAGCACGAAACUUGCCCCGAGAUGAGUUCUCCCUGAGACUUAGAGUCUCCUGAAGGAACGUUGAAGACGACGACGUUGAUAGGCCGGGUGUGUAAGCGCAGCGAUGCGUUGAGCUAACCGGUACUAAUGAACCGUGAGGCUUAACCUU
rnacentral:rRNA from 3 species